GAUAGUCUUUUCUGGAAAGUUUGGCAAGCUCCAAUCCUCAGAAAGAGAGACCACCUUGCCAAACAACAUAAAGAUCCAUACUGCAGAAAUACUGCCUUUGCAAGCAGUGACAGCUCCUGCUGGUCAACCCCAAAGCUGCUUCAUUUUCAAGGUGGGAAAGAGUGCAUGCAGUGACAUCUGGUUUCUGGUCUGUCUUUCUGGAUUGGUGGAGUAAUAGAAGAUAGCAUUUAUGGAUUCCUCCCAGCUCCAAGAUUGUGUCACAGAGCUGAGACUGUUGUAGUGAGAAUUUGCAACAUCCAUUAGAACUAAUGAAUUAGUACUGUAUAUCUUGUAAUCACCAUUAUGUAAACAUUAGUAGUACAGAAUAAUAUCUUUUUCAGCCUACUAUUGACAGAUUUGUUAUUAAUUAUCUCAGUGAAAAAGUUCUUAUUUACCAAUACAGUUUGUAACUUAAAAUGUCUGUCAAGUUGAGAAUUCUACAUCAUACCUGUCUAUAGUGAAAUCCUGAUAUAUGAAAUUUCUGAAUUAGUCUCUUUAGUAGUCUAAUGUGUUCUCUGUAGUAGUCAUGUAUUUGUAGCAUGCUUGACAAGAAGGAGCUGUCAUCAUCUUAUCAGCAAAUACUGCAUUUAGAUUCAGUUUUCAGAUAAGUUGAAGUAUAAAUAUAGUUUCUUAUGUGAAAACAUUGGCAGCAAACGUAGUUGUUAUGGUGGUUUUCCACUGCCAAAAUAUAUUAGAACAUGCAAGAAAAUAAUUCACUGUAUGUGUCUUUUGUUAAAUCUUAUGUUUUACAGGAUUUUCCUGUGCCACAUAAAUUGUAAACCAUAUUGUAUUUCAUUUUGGCUUUUUUGAUGACUGCUUGAGGCUGUAUUAAUGAUGCAAGCAGUUAUAUCUUGGUGAUGUCCUCUCCUAGGAAAGGAGGUAUCCACAGCAAGGAGGGGUCAUACUGCACAAGAGGCUCUUCUCUAUUCAAGUUGACUAGUAGAAAGAGUUUAGCACAUUGCAGCAUUAAGAUGCAAGGCAUCUUUUGAUCAGUUCUUGCAUUUUAUUAAUCCAAUUAAAUGUUGAGCUCUCCAAGAACAAAAGCUAUUUGACAUAAGAUGGUUUACUUGGGCUUGACAAAAGAAAACAAAUAUGCAAACAGCAAUCUAUAAUGAUAAUUUGACUCAUGGCAUAUGCUUUUUGGUUCAGUGAGUUUCCUGUAUUGAUUUUUGAGCUUGAGCAUUAAUGAAUUCCAUUUUCAAGCAACGUGCACCCUUUGGGAUGUGCAAGCUUUCUGAGUAUUAUUGAAUUAAGGCUGUGGGAUGCUCACAUGACGUAUUUUUUUCUUUGGCUGCUGAUGGGGGAUCCAGCUGAGUUUUUGUUCUGUUACACUGUUUCUGCUUCAUGGUUGCUGUCUCUUCUGAUUUUUCUUUUGGAACGUAAG